rnacentral:rRNA from 1 species
CGGGACGGGUGAGUAACGCGUGGGUAACCGUGCCUCAUACAGGGGGAUAACAGUUGGAAACGACUGCUAAUACCGCAUAAGCGCACAGGAUCGCAUGAUCCGGUGUGAAAAACUCCGGUGGUAUGAGAUGGACCCGCGUCUGAUUAGCCAGUUGGCAGGGUAACGGCCUACCAAAGCGACGAUCAGUAGCCGACCUGAGAGGGUGACCGGCCACAUUGGGACUGAGACACGGCCCAA